rnacentral:rRNA from 1 species
AUUGAAUGCUGGCGGCAGGCCUAACACAUGCAAGUCGAGCGGCAGCGGGACCUUCGGGUUGCCGGCGAGCGGCGGACGGGUGAGUAAUGCCUAGGAAUCUGCCUGUUAGUGGGGGAUAACGCGGGGAAACUCGCGCUAAUACCGCAUACGUCCUACGCGAGAAAGCGGGGGCUCUUCGGACCUCGCGCUAACAGAUGAGCCUAGGUCGGGUUAGCUAGUUGGUGGGGUAAUGGCCCACCAAGGCGACGAUCCGUAACUGGUCUGAGAGGAUGAUCAGUCACACUGGAACUGAGACACGGUCCAGACUCCUACGGGAGGCAGCAGUGGGGAAUAUUGGACAAUGGGCGAAAGCCUGAUCCAGCCAUGCCGCGUGUGUGAAGAAGGUCUUCGGAUUGUAAAGCACUUUAAGUCGGGAGGAAGGGCUGUAGGCUAAUACCUUGCAGUUUUGACGUUACCGACAGAAUAAGCACCGGCUAACUUCGUGCCAGCCGCCGCGGUAACAC